GCAGCAGUGGGGAAUUUUGGACAAUGGGCGAAAGCCUGAUCCAGCCAUUCCGCGUGAGUGAAGAAGGCCUUCGGGUUGUAAAGCUCUUUCGCAAGGGAAGAAAACUUAUCCUCUAACAUAGGGUGAGGUUGACGGUACCUUGAUAAGAAGCACCGGCUAACUACGUGCCAGCAGCCGCGGUAAUACGUAGGGUGCGAGCGUUAAUCGGAAUUACUGGGCGUAAAGCGUGCGCAGGCUGUUUUGUAAGUCAGAUGUGAAAUCCCUGAGCUCAACUUAGGAACUGCGUUUGAAACUACAAGACUAGAAUAUGUCAGAGGGGGGUAGAAUUCCACGUGUAGCAGUGAAAUGCGUAGAGAUGUGGAGGAAUACCAAUGGCGAAGGCAGCCCCCUGGGAUAAUAUUGACGCUCAUGCACGAAAGCGUGGGGAGCAAACAGGAUUAGAUACCCUGGUAGUCCACGCCCUAAACGAUGUCUACUAGUUGGUGGUGGGAGUAAAAUCCAUGAGUAACGCAGCUUACGCCUGAAGUAAACCCGCCUUGGGGAAGUACGGUCGCAAAGAAUAAAACUCAAAAGGAAUUGGCCGGGGAAUCACUAAGUGAAUU
rnacentral:rRNA from 1 species